rnacentral:lncRNA from 1 species
CACAGCCCAGGGACAAGCAAAGAAAGGAAAGACGAAAAGAAAACCAACUAAAUAAGAUCAUGAGCAUUCUCACAUCGAGAAGCAGCACGAGCACGUAUAUAAGAACGAAUGAGCUGAAACAGAACCAUAGACUCACGAGCCUGACCCCUAUGGAGAUGAUGAUUACACUCCUUCCAGAUAAAGUAAAUCGUAGCACACCAGAGAACACGUCACAACUUCCUUCUCACACCCUUCCUAAUACUCUGAUGACAAAUCCAAGAUAACUCAACUUUCCAAUAUCUAAUCAUAUUUUC